AUGUGCAAGUUCUUUUCCUGGCUGGCGGCGCAGAAAAGAUGUUGGACGACGGACAGAUUGCAACGACAUUUAUUGCCACAUCCGGUGGCAUGCCCGCUUUGCGAUCAGGAGCCAGAAACGAUCAAUCACCUACUCCUUGGAUGUGCUUUCACUCGACAAAUAUGGUUCGUCACUAUGGGCAACUGGGGAAAGCCUCACUGGACUCCGGAGCCGGAGGCUGAGCUCGUUCGAUGGUGGACUUCCCUUAACAUCGAGAAGACCAAGAGGAAGGAAACAUGGACAGUGAUCACUUUAGUGGCUUGGACAUUGUGGAAACAUAGGAACGACAUCGUGUUCAACGGAGCUUCCCCAUCUGUCAGCACGGUCCUCUGGCAGAUCGAGGCGGAGGGACAUAACUGGAGGGCUGCGGCCCUGCUGAGGGAGGUAAGAUCACUCCCAACUAGGUUAGAUCGAUUGAGUGGUAGCGAGUAG
rnacentral:rRNA from 1 species